ACGCACUGUACGUAACCUGGUUCAGUCUUCAGUAUGAACACGGGUUCCAUUCCAGUGCCAUAUUGAGCCCCAGUGAGGCAGGGGAGCAGCAACGUUUUGUGCUUACUCCCUGUUCACUCUCUGGGAACAUUU